rnacentral:lncRNA from 1 species
UUUGGAUUCCUAAUACAAAACUUAGUAAAAUCACUGUCUUUUUUAUAUAUAUUUUUUUUCUUCAGAGAGUUGGCAUAGCCCCCAUCACAGAAAUUUCGAGGCAGUAGUAUUGCCCAACAGGUGUAACUACACAGAGUUUCAGCCAACAAGGAUAUGAUAAGGUCCAAGACUGCAAUGAACGUACUACAUCAAUGUGCUGGAUAUUUCUCAGAAGUCUGUGAAUUAAAAAGCAAUAUAUCAGAUUCCAAACAGGAAGGUUCUAAGAGGCUGCAAUCAAGAUUGAUAGAAAUUGUCAUUUAAUAUCUGAAAAUCCUGACUCCAUGUUAAUAUAGUCUGAAUUCUUGAAAAGAUGUCAGUUUUAGCUGAAUGUAAUUUUUUAACUUCGGA